GAAGCCUGCCAGACAAUCGCUGCUUGUUUAACAUUGUUAACCAAGGGGAGGAAAGUCCGGGCUCCAUAGGGCAGGGUGCCAGGUAACGCCUGGGCGGUGAAAACCGACGACCAGUGCAACAGAGAGUAAACCGCCGAUGGCCGCUUGCGGCACAGGUAAGGGUGAAAGGGUGCGGUAAGAGCGCACCGCGCGACUGGCAACAGUUCGUGGCAUGGUAAACUCCACCCGGAGCAAGGUCAAAUAGGGGUUCUAUGGCGCGGCCCGCGUUGAACCCGGGUAGACUGCAUGAAGGCUAGGGUGACCUAGUCGCUAGAUGAAUGAUUGUCCUCGACAGAACCCGGCUUAUCGGCGGGCUUCCCAU
rnacentral:RNase_P_RNA from 1 species